rnacentral:rRNA from 1 species
GACGAACCGUGCGAACGUUAUUCGGAUUUAUUUGGGCUUAAAGAGUGCGUAGGUGGCAGUGUAAGUCGGGGGGUGAAAUACUAUCGGCUCAACCGUGGAAUUUGCCUUCGAUACUGCAUUGCUUGAGGGGGAUAGGGGCAAGUGGAACUUCCGGUGGAGCGGUGAAAUGUGUUGAGAUCGGAAGGAACGCCAGUGGCGAAGGCGGCAUCCUGGACUGGUCCUGACACUCAGGAGCGAAAGCGUGGGGAGCGAUCCGG